rnacentral:rRNA from 1 species
UAGUAACGGCGAGUGAAGCGGCAACAGCUCAAAUUUGAAAUCUGGCGUCUUCGGCGUCCGAGUUGUAAUUUGCAGAGGGCGCUUUGGCAUUGGCAGCGGUCCAAGUUCCUUGGAACAGGACGUCACAGAGGGUGAGAAUCCCGUACGUGGUCGCUAGCCUUUACCGUGUAAAGCCCCUUCGACGAGUCGAGUUGUUUGGGAAUGCAGCUCUAAAUGGGAGGUAAAUUUCUUCUAAAGCUAAAUACUGGCCAGAGACCGAUAGCGCACAAGUAGAGUGAUCGAAAGAUGAAAAGCACUUUGGAAAGAGAGUUAAAAAGCACGUGAAAUUGUUGAAAGGGAAGCGCUUGCAGCCAGACUUGCCUGUAGUUGCUCAUCCGGGUUUUUACCCGGUGCACUCUUCUAUAGGCAGGCCAGCAUCAGUUUGGGCGGUUGGAUAAAGGUCUCUGUCAUGUACCUCCUUUCGGGGAGAACUUAUAGGGGAGACGACAUGCAACCAGCCUGGACUGAGGUCCGCGCAUCUGCUAGGAUGCUGGCGUAAUGGCUGUAAGCGGCCCGUCUUGAAACACGGACCAAGGAGUCUAACAUCUAUGCGAGUGUUUGGGUGUCAAGCCCGAACGCGUAAUGAAAGUGAACGGAGGUGGGAACCUUUCGGGGUGCACCAUCGACCGAUCCUGAUGUCUUCGGAUGGAUUUGAGUAAGAGCAUAGCUGUUGGGACCCGAAAGAUGGUGAACUAUGCUUGAAUAGGGUGAAGC